UGUUCGGUUUCUUUUGAAACCACACAUUCAACAAUUUAUAUUUGGU
rnacentral:ncRNA from 1 species